AUUGAACGCUGGCGGCAGGCCUAACACAUGCAAGUCGAGCGGAGCGGCGGACGGGUGAGUAAUGCCUAGGUAUCUGCCUGGUAGUGGGGGCUAACGUCCGGACACGGGCGCUAAUACCGCAAAGUAUCAGAUGAGCCGAGGUGGGCUUAGGGAGUUGGGGGGGUAAAGGCCUACCACGGCGACGAUCCGUAACUGGUCUGAGAGGAUGAUCAGUCACACUGGAACUGAGACACGGUCCAGACUCCUACGGUAGGCAGCAGUGGGGAAGAUUGGACAAUGGGCGAAAGCCUGAUGCAGCCAUGCCGCGUGUGUGAAGAAGGACUUCGGAUUGUAAAGCACGUUAAGUUGGGAGGCGUUACCAACAGAAUAAGCACCGGCUAACUUCGUGCCAGCAGCCGCGGUAAUAC
rnacentral:rRNA from 1 species